AUUACCAAAAAAAAAAAAAGUAAGAGAGAGAAAACAUUUUUUUUCAGUUUCUCUACCCUUUCACGUUCCUCUCCCUCUUGUUCUUCCUUCCAGCUUUUCUUUUGUUGUUCAUAGAAAAAAUUUGGGAUUUUAGGGUAAUUUUUCAUUUGUUCUUUCAAUGAGAUAAAUUAAUUAGGGGCUUUAGGAUUAGUUUAUUCAUUUGUUCUAUCUUCAUUAAAUAAAUUAUUUUGGGCUUUAGGGUUCCUCUGAUUUUUCAUUUCUUCUUCCUUUAAAUAAAUUAAUUUAGGUAAAACGAUCGAUUCCAGUUCCUCCUAUAAUCGGAAACUAUGGAGGGUUCUUGAAGCACAAGGGGAGGGCGGCUGAUUCGGCAGAUGAACGGAGGGUUCUUGUAGCGCCGGUGAGCAGCUAUGAGCCUAUGACUGAUCUCUUCUUGGCUCUCGUCUUUAGUAAAGUUGAUUGGUUAUGAGUUUUGAAGACAAAUGGUUGAUUCUACAUAUGUUGAUGAAAGGGAUAAGGAUAAGUACAAGAAUAAGGAUAACGAUCGUAACACCACCGUAACUGGAAAAAGGGAAGGUUGUAUAAGAGAUUAAAAAGCUUCAAAUUUUGAGUGAGGAUCUACAAGUAGGAUGAGAAUCACAAUCAACAGGGUGAUCUGGUAGCUAAAGGCUUGAAAUUUUCAAAGACUUCAGAGAUGAAACUUGUAUUUUGAUACUCCGUAUGAUUAUGUUUGUCUACAAUAUUUAGUGUUCACCACCUGAGCUAAUGUAUGACCUGAGCUAAUGUAAGUGUACUAGAUAUUUUGGUGGUUUAACACUUGUAUAGUGUACAAUGGUUUAUAAUGUAAUUUUUUCAAUACUAAUGAUCAUUCUUUUUUA